CUACUAGGUCAACAUCAAUAACGUACUAGUAUGUCAUCUUCAGAACAAGAUCACUAUUGUAUUGGACUUACUGAUCUAACGGAAGGAACAUGGCGUUGGAGUUAUGACCAGACACUAGCCACAUAUAAACCAUGGUAUAUUGGACGGGGAAGUAAAGGGACAAGUUACAACUGUGGGUUGAUAUAUCAUGACAGUUCUUAUACGUGGCUAGAUGAGCCUUGUACUUCCAAGCAUAGAUACGUGUGUGAAAGUCAUUUCUGUAAGUAUAAUUGAUAUGAAAUCUUACUAAAAAUGUAAAUGAUACACCAAAAAUAAUGAAACUGAAAUCGACAUGUCACAACAUUUUUAGUAAAAACAUAACUUUAAAUCAUAAGCUAUGGAUUAUUUUCAGUUCCUGAUUGGGGCGAGUUUGACUAGUCUUCGUAAAAUGAAUUGUUCUCGUAAACCACAAUUUCGGGAACAAAAAAAACCAGCUAAGCUAAAGUCAUAUUACCUAAUUGAACUUCUGUAGCAUCAUCGGUUCACGAUUACAUGAUUGUGGUUAACAUAUUACUUUAUUAAACAUAUAAAGGUUAUCACAUAUGUAUGUGCUAUAUAUCAAAUGUAAAAGUAUAAAAAAAGAAACUAAGAAUUACAAAAUCUGUUUUGAAUUGAAAUGCAAUUUCGACAAGGUUUUUCUGCAUGAAAUAUUUUUGAGCACAAGAUUUUUCCGAAAUUGUUCUAUCAAAUUAUAAGGCGUAAAACAUUUUCAAUGAACAUUAAUUUCAAAGAAUUAACGAGGGAAAAUUUGUUCUUGUACUAUCAUACAAUCGAUAAUACGGCACAAUAAUGUCAUAUAUAGUAAACUAUGAAAAAUCUAAAUUGCGAAUAUAUAUAGUUAGAUAUAUAUGUUUCAUACAUAUUUCAAUGUAUUCAGAAAUUCUUAGAAACUCGUGAUGACGAUUUACAAGAUGAUUCGUCAUUUAAUUUAACUAAGUGGUGAUAACAACUUAUCUGUAUUUAUCUAAGCAGAUGUGAAUUAAAUAUGAUCUACACAGAAACUAAAUCUCUGAAUAUCAGAAAUGUUUAGAAUAUUCACAUUUCGUAUCUAAAACAUAAAAGUAAUUGUUUGGGGCAUUUUUCCGGAUAUGCUUUAUUUGGUAUCUCUCAAGUUUUUUUUAUAAACUGCACAAUCUUUAGUUGAAAAUGUGUUAUUAAUUGUUAUUUGUACGUUAAUAAAUUUUGUAAUUUAAUUUUACAGGCUACUAGAAUGUGAAGUAAAACUGGCUUAAGUAUCUAAUACCGAGGAUAUAAUGUGAACGUACCUUCUACAUGCCACAUCCAUCAUAUGUACUUAUACAUGUUAUAUGUUAUAUGUUUUUACUGUAACAGUUUGAAUAGUUUAUAUAAACAAAACUCAGAAUACGCUUAAAUAGCAAUAAAACUAGGAUCACCUAAAGUUAACAGAACAUCUUGCUUGUUCUUUGAUGUUAUCUUAUUCCCUCUCCCGUAAUUAA
rnacentral:lncRNA from 1 species